UGGUGCAUGGUUGUCGGUCAGCUCGUGUCGUGAGAUGUUGGGUUAAGUCCGCAACGAGCGCAACCCCUAUUGUUAGUUGCCAUCAUUCAGUUGGGCACUCUAGCGAGACUGCCGGUAAUAAACCGGAGGAAGGUGGGGAUGACGUCAAAUCAUCAUGCCCCUUAUGACCUGGGCUACACACGUGCUACAAUGGUUGGUACAACGAGUUGCGAGUCGGUGACGGCGAGCUAAUCUCUUAAAGCCAAUCUCAGUUCGGAUUGUAGGCUGCAACUCGCCUACAUGAAGUCGGAAUCGCUAGUAAUCGCGGAUCAGCACGCCGCCGGUGAACUACGCUCCCGGGCCUU
rnacentral:rRNA from 1 species